CUAAUCGGGACGACGUUUCAAAUCCAUCCAUCGAAAGGCCCGUGAUUGAAACGAAGAACAACGCAUUUAUUAUCAACCCCGUAUGCGUCCAAGGGUUGGAGGGUAGGACUAGCCAAGGCAGAUACUUGAACUCUCCAGGUGGGAAUCCAUUUAGCUGCGCUCUGCUGCUCUGCUUGGCGGGCAGCCGUUGUCGUGGGAAUGGAGCUCCUCGCGCUCCUUCCGACUGCCGGACUCCUCCCCGUAACUCCUUCUUUCGCCCACCGCCCGGUGGACUCCCUUCUCUCAUCCGCCAAGCCUACCAACCUCUUCCCUCGCGUCACGACGAAGCCUCGCGCGACCGUCUCCGUCCGGGCGUCAUCCUCGCCGCCGCCGCUUUCGACGUCGACGGCCGCGACACUAUCGCCUUCUUCUCUGCCUGCCUCUCCUUGUACUCGGUGGGUGGUGGUGAUGGAGAAGCCUCCGAACGCCGCUCCCUCGAAAUCCGAGGUUAUUGACUACUACGUCGAAACCCUAGCUAGUGUUUUAGGCAGCAGUGAGAAGGAGGCUCAGAUGUGCAUCUAUGACGCUUCAUGGCAGAACCAGUUUGGCUUCUGCUGUGACAUUGAUGAGGAGUUGGCUCGUCAGCUCGCCAGAGUGCCAAGGGUAUUAUCUGUUGGGCCCGAUGGGGAUGAAAUAGCUAGAAAGAAGGAUUAUAGCUAUCCGAAUGUCUCAUUAACUGACCAACUUGGAGCUGAUGGCCGAUGUUCUAGGUUUUUUUUGUCAGUGCAAAAUAAUGAGUACUGGCUAGUUGAAAUGGAGAAGCCUGGGGUUGAAAUUGUAACAAAGGCACAGAUGGUGGACUAUUAUGCUCAGACCCUAACCAAGGUUUUGGGGAAUGAGAAGGAUGCACAAGUUUCCAUUUAUGAUAUCUCUUGGGAGAAGGAUUUUGGAUUUUGUUGCCAAGUUGAUGAGGAAUGUGCACGGGAACUAGCUAAUGUUCCAGGAGUUCUAUCUGUGUGGCCUGAUAAGAAUUUUGGGUCAGAUAAAAAAGAUUACAGAGGUGAUGAAAAAUCGAAGGGACUGCUGGAUUCAUCAGGAACCAAUAAGAUACCUGAUGUGAAAACCAAAAGACUUUUUGUGACUGAUCUCCCUCAAGCAUCAGUUGUGGAGCUUAUUGAUGUUGGUAUUACUGUUUUCAUGCAUCUUAAGGACAAACGUCUCCUUAGGACUUUCAUUCUAUACUUCUGAGAAAACCUUGCGUGCAGCAUUUGAAGGAUUUGGUGAGCUUGUCGAAGUUAAAAUUGUAAUGGACAAGAUAUCGAAAAGGUCCAAGGGUUAUGCCUUCGUAGAAUACACCACAGAGGAAGCUGCAAGUGCUGCUAUAAAAGAGAUGAAUGGGAAGAUCAUCAAUGGCUGGAUGAUAGUUGUUGAUGUUGCCAGAAGUAACCCACCAAAAUACAGCAGAGCCCGCCCGAGGCCACCAAGUACAUCUACUUUGUCCUACUAAAUGAUACCUAACACAGGUUGACAACCAGAGAUCAAGGAAAGGCAUGGGUGAAUGUCUAGAUGCCUGGUCCGAAAUUUGUAAUUUUGUGAGUUGCCUCUGCAAUAGAAUUGGGGAGUUGUGGUUCCCCUUUCUACUAAUCACUCUCCAACACUUGCAAAUAUAACUUUCACACUACAUUCCUCAAUUUUUAGCCACCUAUUAGCUGCCUUUGUUACGAUUGUGCCUUGCCUGGCACCAUGGAUGGCACAUGAUAUUAUUUUUGGUUUAUAUCUCGUCUUUUAUUCAUUUGGACGUUA